rnacentral:lncRNA from 1 species
UUUGGCUUCAGUGUUUCCUAAUUUCGCUGUAACUGCUGCCAGCUGGGGGUUAAUGUAGAACACGUUCCCAGCACAUCCUGGGCCUGUUCAUGUUCAGGAGCCGCCUGGAACCUGCACACAUGACACUUUAGGAAGAGUGUCACCUCCUUUCUUAAGGCUCCGGGAAGAAACCCAGGGCCAUGGGAUGCCAAAGAGCAGAUCUGGAACUGGAGCCACAGAACCCAAGAAAAGCUGCUACACAGAGAAUGGUGACAGAGCUGACUAUCUC